AGCGUGGAGACAGGUGGUGCAUGGCUGUCGUCAGCUCGUGUCGUGAGAUGUUGGGUUAAGUCCCGCAACGAGCGCAACCCUCACCCCUAGUUGCCACCGGGUUAAGCCGAGCACUCAAGGGGAACUGCCAGCGUCAAGCUGGAGGAAGGCGGGGAUGACGUCAAGUCAUCAUGCCCCUUACGCCCUGGGCUACACACGUGCUACAAUGGCCAGUACAAAGGGACGCGGGACUGCGAAGUGGAGCUAAUCCCAAAAAGCUGGUCUAAGUUCAGACUGCAGUCUGCAACCCGACUGCAUGAAGGAGGAAUCGCUAGUAAUCGCGUAUCAGCCCGGCGCGGUGAAUACGUUCCCGGGCCUUGUACACACCGCCCGUCACACCACGAAAGCUGUCUGUACUCGAAGUCGCUGAG
rnacentral:rRNA from 1 species